rnacentral:misc_RNA from 1 species
AACCUAGCACACCUGCGGUGUGUACCUGCGGAAGGAUCAUUACAUGAUUUAACAGGGAGUGGAGGCUUCGGCCAAAGCUCUGUCUGAACCCAUGUCUUUUGCGUACUUCUUGUUUCCUCGGUGGGCUUGCCCGCCGAUAGGACAACCUUAAACUCUUUGCAAUUGCAAUCAGCGUCUGAAAAACUAUAAUAGUUACAACUUUCAGCAAUGGAUCU